rnacentral:rRNA from 1 species
GACGAACGCUGGCGGCGUGCUUAACACAUGCAAGUCGAACGGAAAGGCCCUGCUUUUGUGGGGUGCUCGAGUGGCGAACGGGUGCGUAACACGUGAGUAACCUGCCCUUGACUUUGGGAUAACUUCAGGAAACUGGGGCUAAUACCGGAUAGGAGCUCCUGCUGCAUGGUGGGGGUUGGAAAGUUUCGGCGGUUGGGGAUGGACUGGCGGCUUAUCAGCUUGUUGGUGGGGUAGUGGCUUACCAAGGCUGUGACGGGUAGGCGGCCUGAGAGGGUGAACGGCCACAUGGGGACUGAGAUACGGCCCAGACUCCUACGGGAGGCAGCAGGGGGGAAUAUUGCACAAUGGGCGGAAGUCUGAUGCAGCAACGCCGCGUGCGGGAUGACGGCCUUCGGGUUGUAAACCGCUUUCGCCUGUGACGAAGCGUGAGUGACGGUAAUGGGUAAAGAAGCACCGGCUAACUACGUG